GGGCCCGUAGCUCAGCCUGGUAGAGCGCCCGAUUCGCAAUCGGGAGGCCCCGGGUUCAAAUCCCGGCGGGUCCACCA
rnacentral:tRNA from 1 species